rnacentral:rRNA from 1 species
UCGGGAAUAUUGCGCAAUGGAGGAAACUCUGACGCAGUGACGCCGCGUAUAGGAAGAAGGUCUUCGGAUUGUAAACUAUUGUCGUUAGGGAAGAAAAAGGACAGUACCUAAGGAGGAAGCUCCCGGCUAACUACGUGCC